rnacentral:lncRNA from 1 species
CCCACUGAACCAAGCAUUGGUGCAUCGUAGACGGGAUGCAACAAUUGGCAAGAAUCCAAUCUCUCCCUAGCAACAGAUUAUAAGCACCUUUUCCACUGAUCACGAAGAAAGUUGUCGGCAAGGUUUUGCUGCCGAUGGUCAACUCGACACAGAUCGCCCCCUUAACCGGAGACACAUUUCCUUCAAAGUCUUUUAGCAUCAUAUCGGUCUUGGUC